GACGGGGGAUGCAAGCGGUAUCCGGAAUCACUGGGCGUAAAGCGUCUGUAGGUGGUGAUGCAAGUCACUGGUGCAAAACUCUGGCCCAACCGGAGGAAAGCCAGUGAAACUGCAUGACUAGAGUGUGGGAGAGGUAGAAGGAAUUCCCUGAGUAGCGGUGAAAUGCGUAGAUACAGGGAAGAACACCGGAGGCGAAAGCGUUCUACUGGAACACAACUGACACUGAGAGCCGAAAGCUAGGGGAGCGAAUGGG
rnacentral:rRNA from 1 species